rnacentral:lncRNA from 1 species
CAGCAUUAAAUUUUCUCUUUCUUUCUCUCUCUCUUUUCAAACAGCACCAAGAAGACGGAAUGCAUAGGCAGCUAUUAGAAAAGCACUGUUAGUGCCCAAGUCAGGAAAUGCAGCUGUUAAAUCCCGAGCCAUACUGGAGCAGAGGUAUUUCAGAUGAAGCUGCCUUACAUCCCUUAACCCUUCCUCCUCUGGGAGAGAUGGAAAUUCUACUGGGAAGCCCUGGCAGGGCUUAGCACUGUCAGCACAUGAGCUCCCUGGCUGCCACCUCCUUAUUGGGCUGGAGGCACACUGAGGCUGGCAGCUGGCAAAAAAAAAAAAAAAAAGAAGAAAA